GUUGAUAGGCCGGGUGUGUAAGCGCAGCGAUGCGUUGAGCUAACCGGUACUAAUGAACCGUGAGGCUUAACCUUAC
rnacentral:rRNA from 2 species